AGCGAACGCUGGCGGCAGGCCUAACACAUGCAAGUCGAACGAACUCUUCGGAGUUAGUGGCGGACGGGUGAGUAACACGUGGGAACGUGCCUUUUGGUUCGGAAUAACUCAGGGAAACUUGUGCUAAUACCGAAUGUGCCCUUCGGGGGAAAGAUUUAUCGCCAUUAGAGCGGCCCGCGUCUGAUUAGCUAGUUGGUGAGGUAACGGCUCACCAAGGCGACGAUCAGUAGCUGGUCUGAGAGGAUGACCAGCCAUACUGGGACUGAGACACGGCCCAGACGCCUGAGAGAGGCAGAAGGGGGGGAUAGCGGACAAGGGGCGGAAGCCUGAGCAAGCGAUACGGCGGGGGUGACGAAGGUCGUCGGGUGGGAAAACUCUUUUGGGGGGAAAGAAAAACAGCAGGGUAAUACCCCGCUGUUCUGACGGUACCCAAAGAAGAAGCACCGGCUAACUUCAUG
rnacentral:rRNA from 1 species